CGCAAGGCCAGGCCCUGGGCCUCCCCGGGCCUCAGUGGGACUUGCCGCGCCAGGGACCCCGGGGGGGCUCCAGGACUCAGUUUCCCCUUCCUCAUUCCUCCAGACAGAGAGAGUACUGACAGCUGCUUUAGCUGCCGUUUAGUGAGCGCUUAUCCAGUGGGUGACCCUGUUCCGGGGCUCACUGUGCCUUCAUUCUAACACCUAAUCCCAGGGUCAUUAUUAUGUUUUAUUAUUAUCUGGCAUUCUUAGUACCAACACCACCUGACAGCGGGAACCACCACCGGCCUGGGUGUAGUGUACCCAGCCUGUCCUCUGACUUCAAAGCCUCUCCUGCGAGAGACACAGUUUAUGGCUUCUUCGCACAAUUUAUUAAAAGCGCCUUUCAACACCCAAACGGGUUGGAUUGGCUUUUGUAAUAAUAAUCUGGCUACGAGGGGAAACCCGGGAGGGCCCCCCGGAGGGGAAGUGGACUGUCUCAGGACUCGCAGCCUGAAACCAGCCGGGUAGGUGGGAAGGGACCCAGGGAGGGGCCGCGUGGAUCUAGGGCGAGGGUGUCAUCCAGGGACUUUGCUCCAAGGACCCUGCCUGGGAUAGAAAUCCUUCUUCCUUCAACCACCGGCCAUCAGCCUCGGGACCAGGAGGCCACGCUGAAGCACGAUUCUUCCCAGAUCCCACUGUUGUGUUUGGAUUUCUGCAAAUGAUGCCCAGACGUUUUUUUUUGUUUUGUUUUUUUGUUUUUUGUUUUAGACAGACUUGCUCUGUCGCCCAGCCUGGAGUGCAAUGGCACGAUCUUGGCUUACUGCAAUCUCCGCCUCCCGGGUUCAAGCGAUUCCCCUGCCUCAGCCUCCUGAGUAGCUGGGAUUACAGGCACCUGCCACCACGCCCGGCUAAUUUUUUUUUUUUUUUUUGUAUUUUUAGUAGAUACAGAGUUUUGCCAUGUUGGCAAGCCUGGUCUCAAACUCUUGACUUCAGGUGAUCCAACCACCUUGGCCUCCCAAAGGGCUGGGAUUACAGGCGUGAGCCACCGUGGCUGGCCUUGGUUUUUUUUGUUUGUUUGUUUUGUUUUUUGUUUUUUUAAUAGAGAUUUGGUGGGGCCGUGGGGGGGUCUUGCUAUGUUUCCCAGGUCUCAAACUCCUGGGCUUCAGUGUUCCUCCCACCUGAGCCUCCCACAGUGCUGAGAUGACAGGAAUGAACCAUCGUGCCAGCGAGACGCCCAGGCUCUAAGCUCUACAUGGUCUAACUUCCCCCACACCAGGAGCAGCAGGUGACUCAGUUUCCCCUCUUGUACCACCAGCCUCAGAUCCGAUCCUGCAGGAAAAGGAUCGAGAAAGCCCCACUCGGAUUCUCCAUGGUGAGAACCUGACUCAGAGGGGCAGGGGCUCCUCUGUGAGACGGGCAUGGACCCUAAUCCUCAUCGCAGCCCUGAGAAGAAGCAGAGACUACAAUUUCCACCAUACAGUUGGGGAAACUGAGGCCCAGAGAUGGACAAGGAGCAAGGAUGUUAAGUCCAGCAUUCGCGUGUCUCUGGACGCUGCCAGGGGGACCAAAGGGAG
rnacentral:lncRNA from 1 species